rnacentral:rRNA from 1 species
UACGUAGGGUGCGAGCGUUAAUCGGAAUUACUGGGCGUAAAGUGUGCGCAGGCGGCCGCGCAAGUCGAGUGUGAAAGCCCCGGGCUUAACUUGGAGACGCCACCCGAUACUGCUCUGACUUGAGUUCGGUAGGGGAGUGGGGAAUUCCUGGUGUAGCGGUGAAAUGCGCAGAUAUCAGGAGGAACACCGGUGGCGAAGGCGCCACUCUGGGCCGAAACUGACGCUGAGGAGCGAAAGCGUGGGUAGCAAACAGG